rnacentral:rRNA from 1 species
UACAGAGGAGCCAAGCGUUGUCCGGAUUGACUGGGCGUAAAGCGCACGCAGGCAGGGGUGCGCGUGGGGUGUGAAAUCUGGCCGCUUAACGGCCAGGCGCCAUCCCAUACGGCACGCCUGGAGCCUUGCAGAGGUCGGUGGAAUUGCCGGUGUAGUGGUGAAAUGCGUAGAUAUCGCUUGGAACGCCGAAGGUGAAAACAGGCUGCUGGGGUUGCGCCGACGCUGAGACACGAAAGCCAGGGGAGCAAACGGG